GACCUCUUGCUAUGGAGAAGACCGGCUGGGUAAGAAUGCGCUGUUGGCACGCUAAUUAAGACAACUGGGCCCCGUUUGUUCGACCCACGCUGACAUCAGUGAGAACUCCACCUUCCUGCACCUCCUUCCUCUGCAGAAACGCAUCUGCUAUCUCUGAAGCCAUCUGGAUGAGGUCCUUGCUGACACCCGGGUUUUGGCUCCUGCUCCAAAUGCGCUUUCUUGACUGGAGGAUCUACACCCGAGAUGUGGGUGUUCCCUGCUUACCGCCCCGCGCAGCAUCCUUGGCUACAUAACCAAAUGGGUACGGUCUCACCUGGGGUCCCGUCUGCACCCCAGUGCUGGAAGUUGUGUAGAUCAUGAGGUCAUUGGGAAGAAAAUUACCUACGAACCCCAACGUGAUUCGUUACCGUAGGAAGAAGAGUUUUUCAUAGCUUUUGUUUCUAGUGUUUGCUAGGAAUGGUGCCUGCUGGUCUCAGACACGGCUGUUCCUGAAUGGUGGAUAUUGCUGGGUACGCGCGGUGGAUGGAUCUGCCCUCGCUCACACCCGUGCGUCUCAAUGCCUCCGCACACAGCACAGGUGUGGUGACCCCGGGGCUGUGGCUGCAGCUGCUGGCUCUGCCCGUCAGAUUAUCCCGUGUUACAACGCCCAGGAGCGCAAGCGGGGCGAGCUCGAUUCCUCCUGCCGAGCAGGGAGGUGGCCGCGGAGCUCCUGCUCCAAAGACCUCCUCCAGCAGUUUAUUUGCAUUGCUUUGAAACUGAGAUGAUUUCCGAGCUUCCUCCUUCUCAAACCAGGAAGGUUUUUCUUUUGGUGGCGCUUCAUCCAAUUCCAUGCCCUUUCCAUUGGCCUGUGACACGCUGACCAUCCCCUCCUCGCUCCAAAGCUCUUUUCCCCCCAAGCUCUGUAGAAAGGACAUUCUGCCCGGUGGUCUUUUUGUUGUUGUUGUUUGUUGUUUUCAUACGUAGCUUUAAGGCAAAAGUUUGGCAAUGCAAAGCAAAGUCUACAUAAGGCCGCAUGACUUAGAUUUGCAACUCAGAACCUUACAGCUUAAAAAAGAAAAAAUCCUUAUCUUAAAUAGCUGACUGGUUGCCCCAGGAGCUUCUGUUCUCAACCAAAAAGGAGAAGGAAGAAGGAAAAAAAAAACAAAGAAAGACUCCUAAAAUCCCAAAUAAAACGCUCUCGUUGCUGUGGGCUGUCCGGGCAAGCUAAUGAGACUGAAGUUCAAACAGGAACUGAAAUAGGGAAGAGAACAAAAAAAGCAAUACUGGUAGAGAUCAGUGUUCGUUUCUUCCCUUAGGAAUCCAGUGGUGAGACAGACCCCGCCGCGAGGUCUCCUCUUUAGCUUUAGCACAGUGAAAUCCGUCCCAAUGGGAGAAGGUAGAAUGGUUGCAUUUGUUGGAUGACUACAAAGUGCAUUUUGAUUUCGCUCAGAUUAUACGUGUUUAUU
rnacentral:lncRNA from 7 species